CGGCCGCGGUAUCCUAACCGUGCAAAGGUAGCGCAAUCACUUGUCCUCUAACUAGGGACUGGUAUGAACGACACCAUGAGGGCUCAACUGUCUCCUAAGGCCUAGCAAUGAAAUUGAGAGUUCAGUACAAACGCUGAAAUACGCACAUAAGACGAAAAGACCCUGUGGAACUUCAAUUAUUAUACUAGCAACAACCUAACUACAAUAUCUGUUUUCCCUAGUAAAAUUUUCAGUUGGGGCAACUACGGAGUAAAAUAAAACCUCCGCGAAGCACGACUAACCAUCUAACCUAAGGCUGCCCCGCCACCCUAAUAUUUUUUGAUCCGGAACAUCCGAUUAACGAACUAAGCUACCCCAGGGAUAACAGCGCCAUCCCCCUGAAGAGUCCUUAUCGAAAGGGGGGUUUACGACCUCGAUGUUGGAUCAGGACACCCAGGUGGUGCAACCGCUACCAAAGGCUCGUUUGUUCAACGAAUAAUGUCCU
rnacentral:rRNA from 1 species